AGAACUCAUACAAGAGUUCAUGAAUCUCACUUUCUCUCAACUACUACACAAGAUCAAAGAGAGAAAUCAAAAAUUACAGAGAGAAAAUCAAAUCACUCGAAGGAAGUUGCUAGAAUAACAAAAACGAAAGAAGACCCAAACCCUAGAGAUAUUAUUCGUUUUUAUACGAAAGAAGCUCAAAAAUUCAAUCCAAUGGCCCUUAAUUUGCCACGCGUCGAAGAUCC
rnacentral:lncRNA from 1 species